AUCAACGUCCAGUGAUGAGUGAUGAAUUUAUAAGAGUGUAAGAGUUUAUGAGAUGUCCAACUUUGUGAUUUACGACCAGUUAUCCUAACGGUUUGGACUUUUUGGUGAACUACAAGAGGGACGGACUGUUGUGACUGUAAGAAAGGACUGGAAAAGCCCUUUUGGACCACAUAAAGAGCUGUUUCCUUCCCGCUGGUGUGCUCAGGUUGAUGGUUCCUGCUGUGACUGAUGACUAUUUCUGGAUUCCUUUUUUAAAGUGGCUGGAGCCUUUUGAUGCUGAGCUGAUGAGCUGAAGAAGAACAAGGACCUGUGGGCGAUCAAUUCAGACCAUGAACAUGCUGACCUCUGACCUGCACUCCGGACAAACAGCCUAUGCUGUUUCUCUCAGAGGGUUGGUGUGUUGCAUGUCUCUGCUCUAAGCCCCAGAGCAGGACACUGAGUGUGUUUGGCAUCUGCUGGCCAGAUCCAAUCGCUCCCAAUCAGCAGCAGGGGGAAAAGGUGUGGAUGUGGAUGGAAUGAGGACAGGAAACGGCUGUGUGCCGUCACUCCGCUGCAGGACAGAAUUUGACUGACAGAUUCCUUAGCCCUCCAGAAAGUGUCAGGGCGACCACCUCGACCCUCAGGUGACUCUGUCUUUCUCUCUGUUUUGUUGUUCCCUCACUACUUCCUUUCCCUUUUUUCACUCUUCCAAAAUGAGCAACAUCUCUUUCAGUCACCAGUAUUACAUGAAAAUAGUAUUGAUAACAGUCUUUGUCCUGCUUCAAACACUAAAAAGACAUCAAAUAAAAAAGAGACAAGGUAAUUGAAUGCUGAUAGCUUUAUUUGCGGCAAAUA